AUUCCCAACACUUUUUUAAAAAAUUUUAUGUCAUAUGUCUUUUAUCACGGUUUAAAAUUAAAAAUGCAGAAUCUCAGGUGGCCCUCCACAUUUACCAUUUUAGUGUCUACAUUUUAAUAAGAUCUGCAAGUGAUUUGUUAAAGCUUUGAGAAGCCCAGUACAUUUGGUGCAGAGCUACUCUGCAGAUAUAAAUUCCUAUAAUUAGUCAACUAUCUCUAAUUAAAACAUACAGUUUGAGUAAAAGCUAUGGAAAAAAAUAUAAUUUCUUUUUCUCCCUCACUGUGGAAGGCAGGUCCUUUUCUUCUCUCCUUCAUUUACUGGAGAAAUGGAGAAAUCAAGUGGCAGCUGGCAGGCUCCAAGGACAGCAUGAUACCAUGGUAACUGCUUCCAUCAAUAACUUAAUUUCAUCUAUUUUCUUACAUCUUUCCUCUGUCCUAAAGCAGGAGAUUUUUUUUAAUUUGGGAAGAACAUAAGAUGACUUGCAGUUGCUAUGGCAACGGCACCUGCAUACUUCCUAAUGGGUUUUAAUAUCAUGAAGGAAACUAUUAAGGAAACCAUAGAAGUUUAGAACUCAAGGGGAACUGCAACGUCUUCAUCCCAGCCCCUUACAUGGCCAAGCAGACCCCCAGUGCCUGAAGAGAUUAAGUUCUCUGUCUUUGGAACAGUUGUCCUGUCAGCUUGAAUUCAAGUUCCACGAUGUUUAUCUAUCAGAUCUGUGAUCCUGGAAGCGGAGGCAAUUCAGUUCCAUAAGGUGAUUGCUUCUGCUUAGGAAGACAGUCUCAUCAUGAGAUGCUGUGCCUGAAAGGCUCUGCUAUUCCUGGAAGUGUAGGACCAUGACUGAAGACUUCCAGGUGCCACUCCAAAGGGUCUGGAAUAGGACAUUGUAAAAACUGGUAUGUCAGGCGGGGUUGUGGCUCAGUGGUACAGCGCUUGCCUAGCAUGCGUGAGGCACUGAGUUUGAUCCCUGGCACCAUGUUAAUAAGUAAAUAAAUAAAUAAGAUGAA